UCUAUGAGUAAAUGACAAAGCACUUUUGAAAGUGGCUCUGGAUAAGAGUCUGCUAAAUGCCGUAAAUGUAAUGACUGUGCUAUAGUCUUAGAGGGAGCCACACUCCCUAAAGCACAGAUCUCUCCUCUUACACAGGUGAAGGAACAAGCCAUGGAAGCAUACAUACAAGAGACCCUGGUCUUAGCCCUGGGCUUCAUUCAACCCUCUACCUCUCCUGUAGCCUCUAGAUGUUUCUUUGUGAGAGGCCUCCUGCUUAUGCCCUCCAAUUCCAGUCACCAGGGGAUCCUCUUCGUUACCUG